AUACGAAAGGUGCAAGCGUUGUUCGGAUUUACUGGGCGUAAAGAGAGUGUAGGUUGUUUAUUAAGUCGGAUGUGAAAUCCCGGGGCUCAACCUCGGAACUGCAUUCGAUACUGGUAGACUAGAGUUCGGGAGGGGUAAGCGGAAUUCCGUGUGUAGCAGUGAAAUGCGUAGAUAUACGGAGGAACACCUGAGGCGAAGGCGGCUUACUGGACCGAUACUGACACUGAGACUCGAAAGCGUGGGUAGCAAACAGGAUUAGAAACCCCGGUAGUCC
rnacentral:rRNA from 1 species